UCAUUAGCUAUCAAAUAGGACCCCGGAGGCCCAAACAUGGGUCAUUCCUUGGAUCUGGGCACUAGUUGCUGCGGCCUUGGGACCUUGUCCAGCUGUUUGUGGUCCUGAGUAAGAUGCUGGUUCUGUGAGUCCAAGUGUGCUGUAUCCUGAGAACUCACCCACCACAGUGCCUGGCAACAAUCGACCCAGAAGGGUAUGAUUGGCUCCCAGACCCGCUGGGAGAAUCUGCAGGCUCUGAUGGCAUCCGGGCAUUACGCUCCUUAAAGGGCUGAGCACACGGCCAACCUUCAGCAGGUUUCCGGUAAGGGGAGAGAUUCAGGAGCUGGGAACUGGCCAUUAUCCUGAAUAUAAAUAAAUAUGCAGGUAUGAAAA